GAUAUACCAAGAGGUAAUAUCAUUAAUUGUAAAUCUGGUUUUGAGGAUUUAUUCUUUUGUAAAGUACUAUGAAACGUUCCUAAAACUUCAAUACCUGAGGAUGUCCAUGGUCCUAAAAUGUUAAUACUAGAUAUAGCAUCAGUAAUUUUGGACUACCAAUCACACCAGCACUAACGAUGACACCAUUGUUUGCUGUGAUAUUGAAAGUUUUACCAAAUUUUGUAAAUUGUAUUCCUGUUGCUUUUUUUGAAUUUAUUAAAAUCUAUUAAAAAAAAUAUAUAUACACAUUUUUUUAUAUCGAAUUGAAAUAUAUAGUUUAUACAUAUUAAAUAUAAUAAACAUACUUUAUCAACUCGUGUAUGAGUAAUAAUGUCCAAAGUAUGUUGAUAUUUUCCAUAUAACAUGUCAUCUGUACUCCAUCUUUUUCCAUUAUCAGCAAACAAUUGAACCUUCAUGAAACCUAAAUUAAUGAGCUUAUAGAUAUUCUUACAGAUUUUAUAACCAAUUGUUUAAUAAAAUAUAAUAGCACCUGUAUCUAAAGCUUCAUUUAUGUUAUUAAUUUUACCAUCGAUUUCCACUAUACUCUUUAAUAUUGUAUUAACAAGAUCAGUAUGCCAUCUUGAUUCUUGUAUUUUCACUGAAUCAUUUUUUCCAAUUAUAUAAUCUAUAAGAAAAUAGUAUAAAAAUAUUAAUAGUAUAAACAUGUAGAAUGCGAUAUAAAAAUACGUAAAGUUAUAUUAUUUAAAUACCAUUAAAAUCAGGAAACCACUUGGCAUAAUCUUGAGGAUGUCCACGUACAUAUGUCAUAUAAUUUAAUCUGCUCGUUCCACCAAGAAUCUUUCCCAUUGGCCAUUUACAUUGCUAUAAAUGAACACAUCAUCAGAUAUUAAUACAAAAUAUUAUGAUUUGUGUUAUCUACAUACAUUGUUUUUCAAAGCUUUGCAAGCAUUAUGCUGAGGUACAGUAAUAUAUUGCCAAUCAUAUAUACUAUUUUGUAAUAAUGGUGACAAUAACGGUAUAUCUAAAAAUGGUGGUGCCGUACCACCAGCUUCUACUAAUAAUACACUUUGUCCAUUCUCUGCUAAUCUUGCAGCAAUAACUGCACCAGAAGUUCCAGCUCCAACUGCAAAAUAAACAAUUA